GAUGUGGGAAAAAUACUAACUGUGGUAUUCAAUGGCUGAAGUUUGAGAAAUAUACCCUUAGGUGAGUAAGGUAGUAACCUUUAGGCCAGUGACUGAUUAUAUACUGCUGACUCUCAUUUCUAUAUUUUGAACACAGAUCUCUAUUCUCACCUUUGAACUCAUCUAUCCUGUUGCUAAGUCUCUCCUCUUAAAUAUUUCAUGGACAUCUUAACAUUGACACAUCCUAAUGGAAUUCAGCGUCUCCUCCCUUCCUCCACUCCACCUCAAACCUGCUUAUUCUUUAGCCUUUUUCUUCUCUAGGAAUGGGAACACCAUCAUUUCUUUCCUAAGUCAGAAAUUGGGUUGUCAUCAUUUGCUUUCCUGUCCUUCAACUCUCACAGUCAAUCAGUUGUCAGAUCUUAUUCAUUGCACCUUCUAAACGUCUCUACUAUUUGUCUGUUUCUCUCCAUCUUCAUAGCCGUAGUCUAAGCCAUUCCCGUCUUUCUCUUGAAUUGCCUCCCCACAGUUAGUUAUUCCCUUUUUUCCUAUUCCACCCCCAACCCCAGUCUGUUCUCUGUACUGCAGCUGGUGUAAUUUCUUAGGCCUGGACAUAGAAACCGUUCCUGGCUUCCUCUUGCUAUCAGGCUAUGCUUCUGUAAGAUUUGGCUUCUCCUCACCUUCCCAGCCUCAUCUCUAACCACUUCCCAGCUACCGUCCCAUCCCUUCUCACCAACUGGCCCUCCAGAUCUCUGCUUGGAAUGCCAUAAUUCUUACUCCCCCUGGCCUAGCUACCUCCUGCUCACCCUUCAGAUCUCAGCUAUACUUUAGUUUUCCAGGAGUCCAUCUUUGACUACCUGCCCCAAGAUAGUUCCUUUGUUUUACUCUCACUGAAUGUUCUACGCUUUCACAUACUUCAACUAUUUUUAAUUACUUUUAGCAUAUUUCUUUCCCCUGGUGAGGAUUGCUGUCUUCACUGCAACAACUCCAGUGCAGCUCACUGCCUGGCAUAAGAAUAUGGAUGCUGACGGGGCCACCUCUGAUCUUGUGAGGAACUAGUCAGGGAGAAAUUGCUGAAGAUGCAAAAGGUACCAAAUUCAAUUUGUUAAUUUCAAAUGUAAAAUUCUCUUCUUGGCUUGCCCGACCCAAUCAAGAGGUAAUUGAAUUUCACUGGGUUUUGCUGCAUUGUGUCUAUCAAUGAAAGGCCUCCAUUUUAGAGUGGUUUCUUAAAGAAAAAAAUGUACCAAUGUUUAAAUGGAGUCAUUUAAAACAUUGCACUGAUUUUUCAAUUAAGUUAAACAAACUACUGAGUCGUCAUAGUUUUAAGUUAUGUUUGUAGGGCCUGGAGUAAUAUUAAAUGCAACUAUCCAGGGACUGAUGGAAGACAAGUGGCAUUGCUUUAUUGAUAGAAAUAUUUGUAAUAACAACCACCAACAUUUUUCAACCUAGGCAUUGUGCUAGGUUCUUUACCUACUUGUAUCUAAUUUAAUUCUCAUAACAACUCUCUUCAGUGGGUAUGAUUGCUAUUACCAUUUUACAGAAGAGGAAACUGAGGCUUGGAAAGGAUAAUGACCUUGCCUGAGGUCAUGUGGCUAGAAGACAGCAGAGAUGAGUCAGGAAUGUAAGCAGUGUAGAAGGAGCCUACACUGGCAAGUACUGCACAUGUCUGCCUCUCUGCUUUAAAAAUUACAGCAUCCUUAGAUUUCAGCUGAAUUUUUCUAAGCAAAUGACCCAAGCCAGCUUUCCCGUGCCAUCUCAUCUAAUGGUAGACUGAUAGUCUAUAUACUGAAUAAGAUUCUAAACCAAUGGUCAUUCUGCUACCACCUUGAAGGAUGUGAAUUUGGCAUUGUACAAGGUACCCAGCAGUGAUAGAGUUGAAUCCCUGUGAAAUGACCGAUAGAAAGCCAUUAAAAACUUGCUAAUUUCCAAAUCUUGUCCUGGGUUAUUCUAACAUUUGCCUCAGAAACAAGUAAAGGGUAAAUGAACCUGACUAUAUCAUGUUGUGAAAUUGUGAUAACUGUGGUCUGAUUUUUUAAUAGAAAGUGAGACAUUAGGUAAAACAAAGCACAGAUUUAUCUUUAGGUAGCACCACACUAUUAUGGUCAUCUGAUAAUAAGACCUUUGAAAUUAUUGACAAAACCGUUUACUAGGUGUGGAAGAAAACAGGACUAACGCUCCCACGAAAUGACAUGUCCCAAGGGCAGUGAUCCAGCCCAGGAGCAAAUGUGGGAAGGAUUAAGGUGUUGGGGAGCAGACUGCUGUCAUUGAAUUUCUGAUAGCUGGAAUUCAAGAUCAGAGGGCAAUUGGUAAAUUGUAGCGCUGAGUAUGUUUUCUCUUUACCUGAUUAUUUUUCAUAGGCCCUGUUUCAAUUUUGUUUACCAGUCGACAGGAACUUUAAUCCUUUUGCUCCAUUUUUAUCCAUCUCUUCCCAAUAUGAACUAUUGGCACUUACCUGAUUUUAGAUUGCCUUGUUUUUAGCCAGCCAUAUGUGUGUGUAUAUGUGUAAUAAGUGUGUUUGUGUGUGCAGUUACAGAUACACACAUACACUCUUACUCAGCGUACAUGAUUCACAACAUAAAUCACUACAAAAUCCUGAGAAUUUACAUAGCACUGUCACACACUGCAUCUCAUUUUUCUCCCAGGUAACCCCCCCAACACACAUUAUGCAGAUAGGGAAGCUGGAGCUCAGCUAUCUCAAAAGAAUCACUAAAGAUCACCUGUUGGCACAGAGUAGAGGAAAACUUAGCACUCAGGUUUUCUGAUACCAGAUCUUAGUUGUUUUACUUAUGACCCAAAUUUCAUUUCCACGUUUUCCAAGCCACUGACUUCUCCAUUAUGCUCAAGUUUUUCAUUAAUUCAGUAGAGAUUUAUUGAACUUCAUGUGCCAGCCAUUAGAAACGGAUGGGGAGACAAUGAACUAUGGGGAAUGAGUGUGCAGAUUAUCUGGAAGGUUGAAAAAGACAAAUCCUUCUCUGUUCCUUCCACCGGUUUUCUUACUGUACCCGAAGCAUGGUAUUUGGUGAUGCUAUUUAGAAUGAUGAUGGUGAUUUCACUUCUACUGCUGGAUGCCAAUCAGUGAUUGACAUUCAUUGAGCAUAUACUAGGCCAGGCACCAUGCCAAAUGUUUUCAUAUAUUAUCUCACUGAAACAUUCAAAUUUGAUCAAGUGGUUACUAUUAAGUUAUUGCAUGUUAAUUGUAGGAGCAAGGAGAGUUUUUGAAGUAGGGCCUUGAAAUGGAGUCUGUAUGACCCCAAAGCUCUUGCUCUUAACCUCCCAUACAAAAAAAAAAAAAAAAAUUCAAUGCUAUCAAUUGUUUGUAUCAGUCACAUAUUUGCUGACUUCUUGCACCAUUGAGAGCUUUUCUAAUGGCCUUCUAGCAACUGACUCUCACUUGUUACUUUCAGUCCUUUCUCCAUAGGACAGUUGUCAUAGGACGAAUGUAUGAGAACUGUGGCCAUUGUUCCAUUGCUCCACUGGCUUA